UACGGAGGGAGCAAGCGUUACUCGGAAUUAUUGGGCGUAAAGGGCGCGUAGGCGAUCUGAAAAGUCUGGUGUGAAAGCCCCGAGCUUAACUCGGGAAGUGCACAAGAAACUGUUGAAUUUGAGUUCCGGAGAGGAAGGCAGAAUUCCCGGUGUAGCGGUGAAAUGCGUAGAUAUCGGGAGGAAUACCAGUGGCGAAGGCGGCCUUCUGGACGGAUACUGACGCUGAGGCGCGAAAGCCAGGGGAGCAAACGGG
rnacentral:rRNA from 1 species